rnacentral:rRNA from 1 species
UACAGAGGGGGCAAGCGUUGUUCGGAAUUACUGGGCGUAAAGCGCGCGUAGGCGGAUCUGCAAGUCGGGGGUGAAAUCCCGAGGCUCAACCUCGGAACUGCCUUCGAUACUGCGGGUCUCGAGUCCGGGAGAGGUGAGUGGAAUUCCUAGUGUAGAGGUGAAAUUCGUAGAUAUUAGGAAGAACACCAGUGGCGAAGGCGGCUCACUGGCCCGGUACUGACGCUGAAGCGCGAAAGCCAGGGGAGCAAACGGG